GGGCUCACUUGGGCAGCACAUACACUAAAAUUGGACUGAUACAGAGAAAAUUAGCAUGGCCCCUGUGCAAGGGUGACAUGCAAUUUGUGAAGCAUUCUAUAUUUAA